AUACUUUGUGUUUGUUGUGGAGUGAAUGCUGGAUUAAUCCCUUUUUUGAGUGUAACAGAUAGUCUCCUCUGCAUUUUUUGCUUAAUUAAAAUUGCCACUCUACUAUGGACUCAAUUAUGUCCACUAAAAAUGUAUAUGUUGAUGCUGUAAUCCCCAAAUGUGAUAGUAUUCAGAGAUAGAGCCUUUGGUAGCUGAGGUUGUAAGGGUGGGGCCCUAAUGAUGGGAUUGUUGCCCUUAUAAGAAGAGACACCAGAGAGCUUGAUCACUGUCUCCACCAUGUAAGGACAAUGAGAAGGCAGCCAGAUACAAUCCAGGAAGAGAAUCUGAUCCUGCUGGGCUUCUAACCUCCAGAGUUCAUCUUGGACUUCUAACCUCCAGAACUGUGCGGUGUUUCUCCCUGAAAGCAGUGCUUGAUACCAGCACGAACUCUGCGUCUUCAGAAGUCCCACUGGGUGUUCUGGUUUUACUUCUUCUGAGAAAACCAAAAGCACGAAAUUCUGAAGACUGGAGAUGAUUCAACAAGAAAUGGCAGUUAUAGAAAUCAAUGACUUGACUGAGGAUUAUCCAAGAAUGAGCCUUCCCAGUGCCAAGGGAUGAAGGCCUAAGAGAUUGAUCAUCACUGCUUCCAUGGGAAGAUUUUUUAUAAACAGGAGAAAUGAGGAAAGGAAAAUAGCUCCGAGCAGUCUGAAGUCUGCAAGGUGUGCAGGGCCAGAGAGACAUGAGUAUGUAUAUGAUGCCACACUAUGCCUAGGAAAAGUUUAGUCCUUGUGCCCCUGACUAGCUGCCUCGCCCAUUAUCUUCAUGUUCCUAGAAUUUGUAACACAAAGAACAAUGUACAACCUAUAAAUAGCUUAUGUUAUUUUAAUGUAAAUUUUUGGUAAACAACUCAGGAACUGCCUCUUCUUUCCCUUUACUUCCCUAAUUGUUUACAAGCAACACUUAUUACGUUGCUGAUUUGAGUGUAUAUUCAGGAUAAAUAGAAUCUAUGCUCCUGGGUUGCAGCCCUCGAGCUUGGUCCAAAUAAACUCUCUACUUACA